rnacentral:rRNA from 1 species
UACGUAGGUGGCAAGCGUUAUCCGGAUUUAUUGGGUGUAAAGGGUGUGUAGGCGGGACGGCAAGUCAGAUGUGAAAACUAUGGGCUUAACCCAUAGCCUGCAUUUGAAACUGCUGUUCUUGAGAGUCGGAGAGGUAGAUGGAAUUCCUGGUGUAGCGGUGAAAUGCGUAGAUAUCAGGAGGAACACCGGUGGCGAAGGCGGUCUACUGGACGACAACUGACGCUGAGACACGAAAGCGUGGGGAGCAAAC